ACACAGCCAUGUACAAACAUACUCAUGUUUCUGCUUUAUUAAAUAUCUUAAAACUCCAAUUUCUUUGUAAUAUCUUCUUACACACAAUCGUAUGUUACAACCUACACUCCCUAUACAUAUCGUAGUACAAGAUACAUAUAUUGUGUGUGGUCAAGCAAUAUUAUUAGUGAGAACUAUUGUCACAUCUAUUUUUCUAAUUUUUUCCAAUGUCAAAUUUACCGUCCAAAAAAUUCACGGACGCACCCAUUUUUUCUGAACAAAAUUUCUCAUAGACCCAUAUUUGCUAAAAUUCUCUGUUUUUUUUUGAGAGGAUAAGGAGGAAUUGACAGGGGAUUUCAUUAUUAAAUCAGAACCAGAUGAUGCAAGAUCUGUAUUUUUUGUUGAUUUUCGUAGGGUUUCUGAAGCACAUCCAAGAUAUUCACAGGGGAUGAAGUUAUUCGAGAUGAGUUUCCAGGUUCGAUUUGAUUUUUCGUUAGGUUUGUUCAUACUUGGCAUAUCGUGUCUUCGUAUUCUUCUUAGCACUUUCAGAGUCGGUUAUGCUGCUGUUAUUGAUGGCAGUGGAGUGAUCGAGAGCAAUAAGACAGGGUAGUGUUGCCAUUGAUCGAUGAGAGGUGCUGUGAUGCUGUCUCGGUGAUAUGAUGACGAGAAGCUGAGGGACUAUUAAGUUGCGAUGGUUUAGAGAGAAAUCAGUGAGAAAUGUUUGUUGCCAAUGAUUUAAAGAACGAGAAGAAAACAGGGAACUGUGGAUGGAGUCGAUCAGUCGAGCUUCUUGUUUCUGCUGAUGGAGACGAUGAAGAUUGGUAAUGGUGGAACUGUAUAUAUAACUUUUUAUGGUUGUUCGUUUGGCAGAGAAAUACUUCACAGAUUUUCAGUUGAAACUGGUCUCAAAGUUUUCGAAUUUCACUAACGGAGUGCGUAUUGCCGGAUAGUCUUUGCAAUUUUCAACUAUGAUUUCCAGUACGUAACUACUUCUGCAGGAGACCAAGUGUGUGCUAUUACAGGAAAGAGCAUAUGAAAAGUUUCAAAAUGAUGGAUGGACUUUAGUUGUCGAAGAAAAUUGGCAUUCUUCAUGGGUUUGAGAUCGGCCUGCCUUAGCUGGGAAAAUAUAACGACACAGGUUAUCAUGGCCAUACCAAUUUUGGCCUUUUUGUAGUCUACUAAGAUUUGUCCAUGACUAUUGAUUAAAUUAUAGAUUUGUCUUAAUAGCAGCUACAGUACUAUCACUUUCCAGGAUGCAGUACCGUGUUAGUGUGUAGAUGAGCAAUCAGUUAUUAGGCAAUUGCGUUGAAACUUCUAGGAACUUUCUUGUAUACAGUUCUCUAGUUUUGAGUGGCAUAGCGUUUGUACUUUUUAGCUGUACUUACGGGAGGUUCUUCAACGUCAUGAUUAUGAACUUAUUGUCCUUUUAAUUGUUUCCUGAAUUGGACAAAAAAAGCCGUAGAUAGUGGUUCCAAUCAAGUAAAUAUGAUGUCUGGGUUUUUGGUAUUCAUGUUACCGUUAGUAUUCAUACCUCAACGUGGAUAUGAAAAGAUUCACUAAAUUUUAAUUCUUUUAUGUGAUUUUCAUGAAUCUUUUAAUGAAAUGAUAUAAACCCGUGUAUUUUCCAAUUAUUCAUUAGGGUUUAUCAUUUGGUGUUGGCUAUUGCAUGAAGAACUUGAUCGAUCCACGUUAAUCAAUAAUAAGGAGUGAAUAUGAUAUCAUGCAUCAAGGGUUCCUGCAGCAAAUAUGGAAAGGCAUUGUUUGGAUUUGGCUAUAGUUAAUUGUAAUUUCAUAUAAGACUUAUCAUUUUUUUUUUGUGAUCGAAGGAUUCUUGUAAAUUUAUUUUCUUCAAAUGGAUUAUGCAACUAUAAAAAUGGUUUGAAUAA